ACAGGAGGAACCACUUCAAGUGAAUCCUCGUUUACACUAUCAACCACUAGAUGUGUAUCCUGCUCCUCUCCAUAGAUGUUGAUGUUUCUGUGAUCUUGGCUUUGAGUUGAACAGAGGAAGGAACAUGAAGGAUACAUAGAAGUUUCUUUGCUGGGAGUCUCAGAAGCUCCUGGUUUUUGUUCCAGCAGCACCAGAAUCCGAUUCUUUUAUUUGAUGGUCUGAACAAAUUUUGGUUAAUAAAUCUGCUCGUUAUUUCUAACUUGAGUUUUGCCAUUGCACCCUGAGCAGAAUAAGAGAACGCCUGUGUUGAAGGCUCUGCAGCAAACAAUUCAGUUGUUAAUGGCGUUUUGUAGGAGAAAUCAAUUUAGUUUUAUUUACGAGGCUUAAAAUGCUGUAAGCUUGUGAUGUUUUUAAUGGUUUGUAUGGGGGUCUGAACAUUGGAUUGUGUAUGUUAACACAAGCGAUUGGGUAACGUGUGAUUCUUUAUAUGUUUGGAGAAAAGAUUGUUACCCUUUCAUUAAGAUCUCGAGGCUUCAUUUGGGACAAUUUUA